rnacentral:lncRNA from 1 species
GACACGAUCUUUGGAGCCCAUCCUCGAAUCAAACCCGAUUUUCUUGCCAAGGCAUUCCAGUUGGACCCAAAUGUAGUGAAAGAUCUUGAGAAUAAGUUCGGUAAUGGCAAUUAGGAGAAGGAAUUAAUGAGCUUUAAUAUAAAUGGCCUCUUCACCAGUGGCUUUGUUGUUCUAACUCCAUAUUAUCAUAUCGGAAUGUACUAAAAGAGGUUUCUUAUAAACCUUUCUCCAAGCUGAUUGUAGCCAUAUAAUAAACAUUAUUUACUGUUGUUUUUAUUUAUCAGCUAAGCCUUUCCCAUGCCUCUCCUUAUACAUAUAUUUUGUCCGUACACACAGACACACAGACACACACACACAUAUUCUAAUUAAUCUCUUCAUUACUUUUUGUUAUGCAAAAUCUGAUGUGAAACAGAUUAUAUUAAGCCCCAAGAUCAAUUGGUAGAUGACCAAUUGAUGUCGCUUGAUAAGAGCAGACACACAUAAUGUUGAAUAUAUGCAUGCAUGAAGCAAAUAAUUGCAUGUGGUUAUCAUGUAACUUUUUGACUUUUGGCAUAAUUUGUUGACCAACCAAUGCUGUUUCCCAUUGCUACUUUGAGCAGCCAAAAUCUUGGUGUUAUUACAAUUGCAGAUGCAGUAUUCGGAUCUGAUCCACCAAUUGAUCCUUAUGCUCUCCCCAGGGCAUUCCAACUUGAAAGCUCCCCAAACGUAGUGAAAGCUCUCCAAACGUAGUGAAAGCUCUUCAAGCAAAGUUCGGGGCUAACUAGUUGCCUAGAUACAUAGUUUAGCGCGCGUGUGAGUAUGUUCUAAUAAAUGAUUUUAAAGUGUAGGAAAGUUCGAGAAAACUCUUAAACCAUUCGGUUUAAGGUUAUAAUUUCAUAAUGCUCUUAAACUGUGGAGUUUAAUAUCUUUCUCUGACUUUUCCACAUUUUAAAAAUCUAGACCCGACUACAUACAUACAUACAUACAUACAUACAUACAUACAUACAUACAUACAUAUAUAUAUAAAAGCAAAUGUUAUAAUGAUGAACUUGUAUCCGCGUAUAUGAAAAUAAUGCAUGUCGUAGUUCUUACGUAACUCGCAUGGAAUUUGUGAAAUGUUUCGAUGGAGGAUUUUCUUUUUUUUAAUUAACCAGAUAAAUAUAGCAUAGAAAUCUAAAAUGAUAAAUAAACAAGCGAAAAUACUAUCAAAUACAAAGAGAGCUAGAGACUUUAAUAUCCUCACUUUCAUUAGCUUUCUUCCAGAUUAUUAAUAAAGUGGAACUAUUUGAACUUAUUAAAGUAUUGUCUUCGCCAUUUAAUUAUGAAUUGAAAAAAUCGAACUUCCUUCGAAAUUAUAUAGCAAACAUUGGAUUAUAAUGCUUUUGGGUUAGGAAAGGCAAUUUAAAUGGAUUUUGAAGGUUAUCAGUUUACAUAUGAUCAAGGAUUUACUUCUGACCCAAUUUUCCUUGAAAGUUUUUAAGCUUUGUUAAUUAAAACGGUUGGCAUUUAGAGAUUACUUUGGUCAACUUUAUUUGUUCAAUGAUUUUUUUUAAAUAAAAAUAGUUACAAAUAUAGAAGCGAAAACAUUUGCAAAUUAAAAUCAUCUACUUCCAAUUCAUUAAGAUUGAUAGAAUAAAUAAUAAUUUUGAGUUAUACAAAGAUAAACUAUUUGUACAAUUAUAUAAAGGUUGAGUAUAAACAGUUGGUCCAUUUACAGUUGACAAACAAUAAUUGAUUAUUCUACAAUAAUCAUGGUUUAAUAAAUUGACUGAUGGGUGAUAAAUCUGAGUGAAUAAUAUACUUCAGCAAGUCCAAAUUAUAAUAAAAUGGUCGAGUGUGUAAGUUUUCUUACGCAUAAUAUUAUAACAUAGGAUGUGGGUGUUUAAUUCAAGUAAAAUUACUGUUUAUAUUUAUGUGAGAUGCAAUUUAUUUCAUACGUAUUAUGAAUUUAGAUGUUUAAUAUAUAAAUCCACAGAUUUCCCAACAAAUUUUAAAAUUAUGACCAAUAAUAACAAUAAUAAUAAUGAUAACCCUAAAUUACGAGAGUCCAAUAGCCGAAGGGUGAAAAGAACUCCCAUUGACGAGUGAAAUAUAGUAUAGACUAAAUUUAUUUUGUUUAAAAUUAUAAUGAAUUUUUUUUUUUUAAUUAAAGAAGGGCUCACGAAGAGCUAAUGCAACACUAAACGAGAGUGUGCAAUUCCAUAAGCAUCAUUACAAAGUAAACCAAAAAUAGCAGGGGGAGGAGAAAGAAGAACAUGCAAGUCUAUAGGUGUAGUUAGGCUAUAGGAAGUAAGGAAGUCCGCAGCACUAUUUGCCUCUCGGUACACAUGCUCCAUGUGGACGAUCCAGUCGCGUGCUAAUAAUUUCUGAAUAGCUUUGACAAGAAUUGUAUUUUCGUUGGCUGAAGGAUGAGCCCUUUCCAAAAGAUGCACUAUGCUCUUAUUAUCCACUCCCGCUUGAAGCCGUCUAUAGCCAUGAUCCCAAGCCACUCUCAAGCCAUGCAAAAGACCCCAAAGCUCAGCCGAGAGAACUGAACACAUUCCAAGGUUAACAGUGAAGCCCAUGAGCCAAUUUCCAUUGAAAUCCCGAAUCCAUCCACCAGCCCCAGCAUGUCCAGACCCCUUCCUGGCACCAUCCGUAUUUAAACUGACACACGGCCAAAUGGGAGCUUUCCACUUUAUCAAAGUCUCCACUCGCUGUUGUUUCCCAAGCAAAGGUUGGUGAAUACAGCGUAAUAUCUCAUGUGUUCGAACCUUUAUGUCUGUGGCAAUAAAGCCACUCUCCCACGAGCCAUGAUUAAAGAGAACGUCAUUCCUCCAAGACCAUAAUCUCCACACCGCUACUCCAAAACACACUCUUCAAUACUCCUGACUUGUGUCGUUUGUAUUUCUCAUCAGAUUAAUCUGCAGCCAAUCAGUAAGAGAGCAAAGAAAAAAGCUAGGGGGAUGAUGGGUAGGCAAGAGAUAAGACCAGUCCCUCCUGGCCGUAACACAGUCACGGAGAGCAUGAAGAAUAUCCUCAACCGGCCCUCCACAUCUAUCACAUUGAGUAGAAACAACCAAAUGUCUCCUAUGAAGCUCCUUCCUCGUUUUCAACCGACCAUGCAAGCGGAGCCAAAGAAAAACACGGAUGCUCUCGGGUCCCUUCCAACUCCAAGCCAAACGCCAAAAGUUACGAUCUCCAUUGCCAAUAGGAUCAUCUAAAAGCUCAUAAGCAGAUUUUACAGAGAAAAUUCCAUUAGAGGAAACUCCCCAAAAGUAACUGUCAUGUCCGUGAGAAGCUUUAGGAGGAUGAACUGAAGCAAUCUUUAAAAGUAUGUUAUUAGGCACCAAGUGGCUAAACAAACACCAAUUCCAGUUUUCAUUUUCAUCAACAAAAUCAGCUACCCGCUUGCUAAGUAAUGUAUUCAAACACAUUCUACAUGUAACACAUUAACCAAAGAAGUUUCGGAUUAACUAAUUAAUUAUUUAUUUCGUGAAAGUUUUGGUUGGUCUUGUGAAACACGAAAUUUAUGAAAGAGUUUAUCUCACAUUGAUAUCAUAUUUGUAUCUAACAGAUAAAUGUAUAAGAGAAAUUAACAUAAACAUGUAUUUUCUAAAGUGUCGUUUUAGGCCUAUUAUAGAAACAUGUUUCAUAUGUUCUUAAGAAUUAUUUAAUUUUAAUUAAAUAUGUGAGAAUAACAUUGAAAUAUUAGAAAAAUUUAAAAAUAAAAAAAUUUAAAUUCUAAGUUCUACUAGUUGUCUAAAUUUAUCGAGGGUCAUCUGUCUCGCAAUUUUAAUCCCUAUCGCAUAAUAGUUUCGCGCAAUAGUGUUUGGGCAUAAGAAUAAAUAGAGGUUUGUCAUCUGCAACAAAAAAAACCGAAAUUUAUCAGAAACAGAAAAUUUUCACACACCUUUGAUAAAAAUCACCCAAUUAAUCACAUCGAUAUAGAAGAAAACAAUAUUUUUUAAGACUACAGUAGAUGUUCCUAGGUCAAAGCUUCAUCACAUAACUGAAAAAACAAUCAAAAUCCCUCUUUCUACGUUAAUUCGCCAACAUGCUUCAUUCAAACUAAAGUACUAAAUAAAUUGAACCAAAUAUUUCAUGCAAAAAAAAAAAGCAACAGUCUACGGAAUGCUGUAAAAAGAACAACGUGACAAACAUAUUAACAAGAAUUUAUUAACAAUGCCGACAUGCCAAAAACAAAUGGGAACCUGGAAUUCAACAAGUAGCUAACUUCUCAUAAUGAAGAACUCACAUCAUUCUUGAGUGGAAACGCGGAGAAUCCAAAAGAAUUCUUUUCGAUUCGUGCAAUUCUUGUAAGGAAUUGUCUUCAACUGCUAAUUGACAUGCAUCAAACAGACCGAAGAGAUACCUCCCACUGCUCUAUCUUCUCAGCCAAAUCAUGCUUCCUACAAUUCUUCAGCCCAUCAGUAGCGAAAUCAAAGUACCUGGAAAUUGGAGUCAACCCCAUUUCGGUCAUUUCCACCAAAUAGUUUGCCGCCUCAACAAAUCUUCCCCCGCGGCCACACAUUGUUAUGAACAUUGCAUAAACAGGCCUAUUUGGAGGAUGCGUCUUAAUCUUCAUCUCACUAAAGAAACAAAAUGCAUCAUCAAACUGGCCCCUCGUUAACAUCCCUUUAAUAAUAGGAGCAUACAAGCUUGGGAAUGACUUGUGACCGUCCUCAACCAAAUUACACAGCAAUCUAAAGGCCUCAUCAAUCAUAAACCCCUUUGAAACAGCUGGAAUCGAAAUCUUAUUCGUAUUCACAUCAGCGCACAAACCUAACUUACACACGCUAUAAUACAUCUCAACACAAAACUCAACCUCCCCGGAUUUACAUAUCGUCUCAAUCAACGAAUUAAAGGUUUCCAAAUCCGGAACAGACCCUUGUUUAAUCAUUUUAUUAACCAUCUGUUUAGCAGACUCUAAAUAACCGGCAUUCAACAACCCUUGAACCAACAAUCACGACCUCGAACAGGGGGGUUGAACCCUUUAUCACUCAGCUCCUGCAAAAACUCUUGUGCCUCUCUCACUUUCCCAGAAGAACACCAAGCAUUAACAAGAAUCGUGUACGUCCUCUUAUCAGGGACAAACCCUUUUCUAAUCAUCUCCUAAUCAAAGCAUAAGCACCAUGAAACUACCUGACCUCACACAAAGCAAACAGCAAUGAAUUAUACAAAAGAACACACAGCUGACAAUUGAAAGCGGUACACUUAUUAAAAAUCUCAACAGCAUUAUCAAUCAACCCAUGUUUACCAAACUCUUCGAUGAUGAGAGAUAGAGUUUGAGGAAAGACGGAGAGGCUGUCGGGUUUCAUGAGUUCGAUGGUCUUCCACAUGGACUAGCAGCGUUUGUGGUGGGGGAGGGUCAGGAUGAGCUGUUCGAAUUCAAGGGAGGUGGGGGAGUAUUGGGCCGGGAGCGGGCCCACGAUAAGAAGCGGAGGGAUUCGGAAGCAGAAGUAGUGCGGCAGUCGCGGAACAGACGAGUUCUGAGAUGAGGGUGAGGUUGAGUCUGUUGAGGGUGCGUUCUGGAUAUAUGUCGUGACGGACUAUGUUGGCGAUGUGGUUUACAUCUGCGAAGUAAUCGUCUUUUGAGGUUUUAGCCGCGGCCACGGUGGUCAUGGUUUUGAAGGACGGGACGAGGCAUUGAGUUCGGUUUCUGAAUAGCGAAACUAACAUCUUGGAAGGUCGAAUGUGGGGACUUCUCAUGCGUGCUAUGUGUUUGAAAGAAUUCCGCAAUAAAAACUGCUCGAGCUGGCAAUCGCACUUCAUGCUAUAUGUUGGAUAGAUUCCGUAUUCUGAAAUAAAUGUUUUGUAUAUCAGAGUUGCUGCUGGUGGUUAUCUUAUUGCCGAUGGUGGUUAUCUUAUUAAAUGAAAAAUCCAUGAUCCAAUUAUCCUAUCAUAGUCCGUCACGAUCAUCUUAUAUCAGAGUUAUUACACUAUCAUCUUGCUUUUCUAAAGCUUCGAAGCAGACGUGACUUUUAAACAGAAAAAAAGGAUAUCCAGACCGCAAGGUUCGGGACUCCUUCAUUAUCCUUCCAAAACCCCGAUUCAAAUAAAAUUAAUCACACAUAAAUUUUUUUUUUCAAUAAAUUACUUAUAUUCAUAAUUUAUCUUUAAAAAAAAAGUCCUACUUAUAAUUAUAAUUAUUUUUUUGUUAAUUCUAUACCUUUUACUCCUUAUCUAAUUAAAAUAAACUAUACAAAAUUUGAAAUAAUCUAUUAUUCUUUCCAUAUUUCUUAUCGAUUAAAUAUUUAUGUACUUAAAAUUAAUUUUAAAGUAUAAUUUAAUAUAUGUAUAAAUUUUAUCAAAUAAUUAACAUUAAAAAAUUCAUCGGCUAAAAGAUCUUUUAAUUUGUGCGUAAGAUAAUAAUAAGAUUACAAAAGAAAUGAAAAAUGAAUAACACAAUACUACUUUUAAGUUUUAACAAAAAAAAAUAAAAUAAAAAUAAAAGUGUUUUAAAAAAAAUUAAAUAAAGACAUUAUCACAAAUAAAAUAAAUAUAAUUGAAAAGGGAAUUUGAUGACGAGAUUAGUGAGGUGCCAAUAUUCCCAACCCUAAUAGAACUGACGGCUUGAGGAAGAUUCUAUUUAUUUUCUUUUCUAAUCUCCAAGGUUUUACACUAAAUAGAAAAGCACAUUUGGACACACAAUACAAUCCAUCAUCAGCACUGACAUCACAAACACAACCAUAGCGUCAUUUGAAUAAAGUGAACCCAUUUCUUCUUCUAAAUAAAACAAUCAUCGUUCUAUUAUUUCUCUUUGCUUUUAUCUACAAUCCCGUUUCCCUUCCUGUCUACCUAUCAAUCGCAGGGAAGUCGAAGUCAUUCUCAAUUACUUUAAAGUGUUGGGGCUUCUGCCCGGAACAAUGGAGACUCCACAACCUGACAUAUGACCUCUCCAGAUUCUUCACCUGCAAUUUCCGAGAAAAAUAGCAUCCAUUUAUAAGUCACUUCUUUCACAAAAUGGGCAAGAACCGCAAAACAAUGGAAAACAUUAGUUUCAACUCACCCAUCGUGCUGUGUCAAAGAGAGGACAUGUCAAGCGUACUGAUUUAAGUUUGUUGGUGAGGGCCUGGAGCUUUUGCCGAUCCAAUGCCAAAGAUACAGCCCUCUCUUCAUAUUCCUUCAUAGGAUCGUCAGAAUAUAAAAUGUCAAAAUUCAGCUUUCCAUCAACGUAGUUAAAAGGAAACGAAAGUACACAGCAACACACUACAGAGCAUUUCACUUAUCCUAAUUCAUACUGUAUCAAAGCCUUUUGCGUGUUAACUAUGAAUAGUACAGCUUUACAUGCAAACGUAGAAAUAAAACCCAUAUGGCUUUACAAUUGAUAAGUCCAACAAAACAGCAAGUGCUAGGGCUUGCAUUGUUCAUCACCAGCAAUUAAGUAUUGUCUAAGGCUUUGUACAGGGGCAAAGAAAUUUAAAAAAAAAAUGCCUACCUGUUGACAGUCAUCUCUUCCCCAAGGCCAGUUGCAAGACAGAGUAAUCCGGCAACCCUAGUCGCCAUUUUCUGCAGGGGCAGAGGUAUCUUGGCAAACCCAAUCAAGACCGCAUAUUCAGUUUCGUAAUUGAUCAAAUAAGAGAUGAUGGGAAGGAGAGGUAAAUGUCAAGGGACUUCAACAAGAAAAAUAACUGGAAAGAGGUCCUAGGAGAAUUUCUUUAAACAGUAACUUACAUGCUCGGAGUCUCAUUUCUCCUGCAGCUGCAUGGGAACCUAAGGAUCCAAAGCGCACUGUUAGGUACUCGUCCAAGAAUAUUGCACCUAAAACACACGAUCACAUGAAUCUCAGAAGCCAAAUUGUAUACAACUACACAUAGUCAACAAACAAAUUCGGGAUCAUCCAAGUAUUAGCAAAUAUUAAAGAUCUCAGGAUCCAUUUUGUAUAACUGGUUGAAGCAAGCAAAUAUAAAUUUGUCUUCGGGGAGACCAUAAUCUGAUCGUUUGGGCUGGCAAUUUGGAUCCAACACAUCCAUAUUUAUCUGCAAUUAUAUACAAAUUGUUACGAAGAUAACUUCCCCUGCUUUUGAAGGAGGAUAACAAAAGGUGAUAUAAACCAUAUAAGGAUUUACUCUUACCAAAAAUAUCAUAGAUGUACCUGUUUAUAAUCAUUAACAAAGCAGCAAUGAGGGACAUGCACAAGCUUUCCCGAAUAUAUAUGGGCAUAGCGCAAAGGUGAAACAAACUGUAGAUUCGUUGAACAAAUAAAGUUGACCAAAGUAUUCUCUAAAUGCCAACCGUUUUAAUUAACAAAGCUUAAAAACUUGUAAGGAGAAUUGGGUCAGAAGUAAAUCCUUGAUUAUAUGUAAACUGAUAACCUUCAAAAUCCAUUUAAAUUGCCUUUCCUAACCCAAAAGCAUUCUAAUCCAUUGUUUGCUAUAUAAUUUCGAACUAAGUUCGAUUUUUUCAAUUCAUAAUUAAAUGGCGAAGAGAAUAAUUUAAUGAGUUCAAAUAGUUUCACUUUAUUAAUAACUUGGGAUUAAGCUAAUGAAAGUGAGGAUAUUGGAGUCUCUAGCUCUCUUUGUACGUAUUUGAGAGUAUUUUCGCUUGUUUAUUUAUCGUUUUAGAUUUCUAUGAUAUAUUUAUCUGGUUUAUUAAAAAAAGAAAAUCCUCCUUCGAAACAUUUUACAAAUUCCAUGCGAGUUACGUAAGAACUAUGACAUUCAUUAUUUUCAUAUACGCGGAUACAAGUUGAUCAUUAUAUCAUUUGUUUAUAUAUAUAUAUAGUAAUUUUCGGGUCUAGAUUUUUAAAAUGUGGGAAAGUCGGAGAAAGAUAUUAAACUCCACAAUUUAAGAGCAUUAUGAAAUUAUAACCUUAAACCGAAUGGUUUAAGAGCUUUCUCGAACCUUCCUACACUUUAAAAUCCCUGAUUAGAACAUACACACACGCGCUAAACUAUGUAACUAGGCAACUAGUUAGCCCCGAACUUUGCUUGAAGAGCUUUCACUACGUUUGGAGAGCUUUCACUACGUUUGGGGAGCUUUCAAGUUGGAAUGCCCUGGGGAGAGCAUAAGGAUCAAUUGGUGGAUCAGAUCCGAAUACUGCAUCUGCAAUUGUAAUAACACCAAGAUUUUGGCUGCUCAAAGUAGCAAUGGGAAACAGCAUUGGUUGGUCAACAAAUUAUGCCAAAAGUCAAAAAGUUACAUGAUAACCACAUGCAAUUAUUUGCUUCAUGCAUGCAUAUAUUCAACAUUAUGUGUGUCUGCUCUUAUCAAGCGACAUCAAUUGGUCAUCUACCAAUUGAUCUUGGGGCUUAAUAUAAUCUGUUUCACAUCAGAUUUUGCAUAACAAACAGUAAUGAAGAGAUUAAUUAGAAUAUAUGUGUGUGUGUGUGUGUGUGUGUGUACGGACAAAAUAUAUGUAUAAGGAGAGGCAUGGGAAAGGCUUAGCUGCUAAAUAAAAACAACAGUAAAUAAUGUUUAUUAUAUGGCUACUGUUGAUGCGAGAUUCCGGUUCCCCUCGUUCUACGAUCAGGAUCUCUGCUCGAUCAACUUCACCACGACCAGGAGGUCUCCUCGUGAGGCUUUUUUUUUUUUCAGAUGUCCCUGCACACACAGACAAGUCAGAGUACGCCGGUUGUUUUCCCGGCGCAAACCCUCCGACGCUUAAGUCAGAUAUGAAGGUUCGGGGAACGUUUGCCACAGAUCUUAUGGCUUUUUCGUGGUUUUUCCUUUAAUCUCAAAAAUGCUAACCCUUUUACCUUCGUUGGCUACCUUUUUAUAGGCUUCCUGAAUCCCCAUUUUCCGCUUUUUCCGAGACGGUAUGGGACUCCGACUGCUGCGUUAUGGGCAAGCGUGGGAUCUUGCGUGUUACGCCACGGUUCAGGGGAAAGCGUGGCGGUCGUGGUUCUGUGAGAUCUUGCGUGUUACGCCACGGUUCAGGGAAAUGCGUGGCUGUCGUGGUUCUGUGAGAUCUUGCGUGUUACGCCACGGUUCAGGGGAAAGCGUGGCUGUCGUGCCUAGAUUCUCGGGCUGGAGAGCAUGUCCUGCCAACUGCCGUCGACCGGGUCUCCUCGCCUCUCGGCCUCUAGCCGGAAUGGCCUUAUGCCUCUCACAGGAAAUUGGCCUCGCGGAUGAUGUGCUCGUGGACGAGCCGGAUAUUUCUGCUCCUGUUCUUCCGCGCACCAAGCCUUUACGGAACACACCUGUUCGCAGAACUCUGCCAUCAGAUAUCUGCUCACCGUGCCUGGUCUCGUCGACGUCUUUAUCCCAAACAGUAUUUCUCCCAAACACCGGUCCCCCAGUUUCUGGUGUUGGGCAAUGUAGUGGACUAGCAGUAGAAACUCGACAGUUAUCGCUCGCGUAGGAUUGAAAAAGGCUGCCAAGAGUCAUGUCGCAUUUAAUUGCGGACGAGGUGACGUGGCAGAAAUCCCUCCCUCCAUUUGAAUUUCAAACCGACGGUUAUGAGACCCUCGGGAUUCGGCGCUGUUAAAUGCUGGCAACCCAAGAGUCCGUCCUCAUUAGGAAAGCCAAACCCUCUCGAACGGCAUAUUCAUCAUUCACUCCGUCUCCGUCUCUGCCUCUCCGGCAAAGAAGUUCCGGCAUAAAAGGCCUCCAUCUCAGACUUUCACCGACUGAACCAUUACUUCAGGUAUUUCUUCUGUUUCCUUGGUCUCGGAUAGUUGUAGAUAAUUUCUCUUUUCUUCUGUUUGGGUAGUAGUUGGUGGUGUUGCGGUUAGAGCUUAGGGAAUGUCGAAAGGCAAAGAGAAGGUCAUUGAGGUUGAUGACGACGAGUUGGACUUCCUGCCUAGUCUGCUCACCGAUCCUGCUUUUGACCCCGGGAUCCCCUUAGAACCCAUUAGGUCUAGUGUCAGGACUAGUGCUAGGAGGAUGUCUCCCCAAACAACCUCUACGAGCGGAAGUAAUGGUGAGGAGAGAUCUUCUGGCUCCGAGGAUACUUUGAGUGAGAAUGGCGAGGGUGACUCUGGUGAGGCGUCUCCAUCCGGAGCGUCACGACCAGAAGGACGGGGUACAGUAGGGGGUAGAGCCUUGUCGCGCGAUUAUGCCAUCGACUAUAUGACGUGUACGACCACGUUUGACGAGCUCGCUGACCUCCGUCUUAGGUACAGCGUUCCUGGUGAAAUACCUCUCAAGGUCCCAGGAAAGAAGGAUGCUCCCAGCCGGCCUCCUAGGGGAUAUGUUACCCUGUAUCUGGAUAGCUUUAAGUUCGGGCUGAGGUGUCCCUUGCAACCUUACUUUGCCCGGAUACUCAACGGGCUAAAUCUAGCUCCUGGUCAGCUGAAUCCCAAUGGGUGGAGAGUGCUCUCUGGUCUGUUCAUAUUGUGGGACAGAUGUUGCCAAAGCGAGCCCACGGUUGAUGAGGUGAAGCAUCUGUACCAGCUAAAGAGCAGCCCCAAAGAUGCCGGCUGGUACUACUUCCAAUCUAGCACCAAGAGCAGGAAACCUAUAACCGACCUCCCUACUGGUGGUGGUGGGAAUUGGAAGAGAAAGUUCUUUUUUGCUGGGGGUCCUUGGGGUCAGGUUGCACAAAUGGACGGGAAGGAUUAUCGGGUCCCACCCCGUUUCACGGUCCCAGGUUGCCUGCUCGCUUUAGAUGUCUUGUAUCCAUAAUUGUUCUUGCUUUAUUGGCUUGUCUCUAACCAAGUGUCUGUUUGUGUUGUAGUUUCUUGGGGUGUUCACUUCCCGCUCCCACCUGACCAGCUCAAACGGGUCGAGGCUGUGCUCGCCAAUUCCUGCUCGAGCCGAGAACUGUUAACUACGUACAACUUGCUCGAGUCUUGCUUGAUACUUCCUGGCCAUAGGAUGGAGGACGCUGUGAUUGGGGCUCUGACCCGAAAACGUUCUCGACCUCCAACCACGAAGAGGGACCAGAGUAAGGAUGCUCCUACUGCAAAGCGGGCCAACAUCGUGCAGCAGGCCCCACCCUUGAAGAUUUUACCUCCUGCUCCUGUAAAAGUUGGGGAAGCUAGUGGAGUAGCCGCAGAUCCUGCUACCUCUUCUCCUCAUGUCGGGCCUCGAUCUCGCUUACCUGACAGCCGAGCAGAACAUCUGGUCCCUUACCUCAAUGAGUUAACUAAAUUCGUGAGCAAAAAGGACCUGGAGGACUUUGACGGCCGCACCUUGGGUGAGCUGGUGGGGGCCAUGCAGCAUAGCGCUUUCCACCUCAGCUGCAUGACCACCUAUUACAAGGCUAAGGUUGGCCGCUACGACCGGAAGAUGAAGGAGGACAUUCAGUCGGCGACGACCAGAGCUGACGUUGCCGAGCAGAAAGCAGGGGAGCUGAAUCUCGAGAACCUGAAGCUGAUAGAGCAAGAAUCACUUGCCCAAGCAAAAGCCAUUACCCUCGAGGAGGAGCUUACCAAGGUCAAGGAGGAUCUGCAAAGGCAGAAGGCCAUGUACGAGACUCAGCUCGAAUCUCUCCGCGACUCCCACCGAGCUCAGGUCGAGAACAUGGAGAAGGAGGCCGACAACCAGUACGACCAGGGACUUCGGCAUUCCUAUCGUUGCAUCAUGGCCGUCCUCGGGAAGCAACACCCUGAUCUGAAGAUGGACGACCUUGCAGCUGGUGUUGCUCAACAUAUGGACGAGGAGGCGGACGAGGAGGCGGCCAAGGAAGAUGCCGAAGGGGUAGAGCCGAUCGUGAUUGAGGAGGAAAACUCUCCUCCUCGUGCAGUCCCUGCUGAUGUUGGCGAGGUGAGUACCCCCCCGGACGCAACUGGUGAUACCCCCCCUGCACCUGAGGAGGUCCAGCCAACCGAUGCUGCUCGGCUCACUGAUCCACCGUCUUUUUAAUAUAUUUCUUUUAUUGUAAUGGACAAUGUUCAUGAAGAUUAUCCCCUCUGUUAAUCAUUAACAAAUUAAUAAAAAUGUUUUUUGAUUACUUUCUUGUGUUGUAAUUAUGAGUUAAUUUUCGUUUGAGAAUCUGCUUGUCUUUGUCUAGACGAGCAGGUUCCGGCUUGGCUCAUGGUUUUGCCACAUGCCUUUGAAGAUUUUUCAAUGCCUGGGAUUCGGUUUGCCUUCGCGCGGUCGAGCAGAUCCUGGCAUGUUUGGCUUCUGUCUCGCCAUAAGACAGGCUUUGAGACUUUGUCGAGCCUUUACAUGCCUUAGGAAUUUCUUCGAAUGAUUUGGAGUCUGCUCGCCUUCUCGUGGUCGAGCAGAUCUGGGCAUGUUUGGCUUCUGUCUUGCCAUAAGACAGGCUUUGAGACUUUGUCGAGCCUUUACAUGCCUUAGGAAUUUCUUCGAAUGAUUUGGAGUCUGCUCGCCUUCUCGUGGUCGAGCAGAUCCUGGCAUGUUUGGCUUCUGUCUCGCCAUAAGACAGGCUUUGAGACUUUGUCGAGCCUUUACAUGCCUUAGGAAUUUCUUCGAAUGAUUUGGAGUCUGCUCGCCUUCUCGUGGUCGAGCAGAUCCUGGCAUGUUUGGCUUCUGUCUCGCCAUAAGACAGGCUUUGAGACUUUGUCGAGCCUUUACAUGCCUUAGGAAUUUCUUCGAAUGAUUUGGAGUCUGCUCGCCUUCUCGUGGUCGAGCAGAUCCUGGCAUGUUUGGCUUCUGUCUCGCCAUAAGACAGGCUUUGAGACUUUGUCGAGCCUUUACAUGCCUUAGGAAUUUCUUCGAAUGAUUUGGAGUCUGCUCGCCUUCUCGUGGUCGAGCAGAUCCUGGCAUGUUUGGCUUCUGUCUCGCCAUAAGACAGGCUUUGAGACUUUGUCGAGCCUUUACAUGCCUUAGGAAUUUCUUCGAAUGAUUUGGAGUCUGCUCGCCUUCUCGUGGUCGAGCAGAUCCUGGCAUGUUUGGCUUCUGUCUCGCCAUAAGACAGGCUUUGAGACUUUGUCGAGCCUUUACAUGCCUUAGGAAUUUCUUCGAAUGAUUUGGAGUCUGCUCGCCUUCUCGUGGUCGAGCAGAUCCUGGCAUGUUUGGCUUCUGUCUCGCCAUAAGACAGGCUUUGAGACUUUGUCGAGCCUUUACAUGCCUUAGGAAUUUUUCUCGGUUUCAAGCGAAUGAAACUCCUCGACGUUCCAUUAAUGGCAGGAUUCGUCUUACAUAAAAUUGUUUGGACAUAAAGCGUAAAAGAUAAACGAUAAUUGUCAUGAGCAAGAAUAGCUUUCAAAUGUGUACAAGUCUUACUGGAAGUAUUUUCGGAGGUGUGCUGCGUUCCAUAGGCGUUUCACCUCGUGGCCGUUCGUGCGAACCAGCUUGUAAGCUCCGGGUCCCGCUAUCUGCUUGACUCUAUAUGGCCCUUCCCAAUUCGGUCCCAGCACUCCUUGAGUCGAAUCUUUGGUGCUCUGAUUCACUCUUCUCAGUACCCAGUCACCGACCCUGAAUUGCCGUAUGUUCACCUUUUGGUUGUAAUACCGAGCAACCCUCUGUUGGUAAAUGAUUGAUCGCUCGGCUGCUUGCUCCCUUCUUUCCGUUAGCAGAUCAAGAUUCAAACAUAUCUGCUCGUCGUUCUCCUGCUCAUCGAAAUGGUUUGUCCGGUGUGUGGUUGUUCCUAUCUCAGCCGGCACGACCGCUUCGUGUCCGAAAGCCAAAGCGAACGGUGUCUCCCCGGUUGCGGUUUUGUGGGUUGUUCUGUAUGCCCAUAACACACCUGGCAGCUCGUCAACCCACGCACCCUUUUUUGCUCCAAGCCUGGUUUUCAAAAGCCUCUUGAUGGUCUUGUUGGCUGCUUCUACUUGUCCAUUCGAUUGAGGGUGAGCAGGCGAGCAAUACUUCAGCUCUAUCCCGAGGUUCUGGCAGAAAUCCCUGAAGCUGUGAUUAUCGAACUGCCUGCCAUUAUCCGUUACCAAGGCAUAAGGGAUCCCGUAUCGACAGACCAGGUUUCUCCACACGAAGUCUGUUGUUUUCUUCUCAGUGAUUCUGCUAAGGGCUUCUACCUCUAUCCACUUCGUGAAGUAAUCUAUAGCAACUAUUGCAUGUGUUGCUGCUCCUCGUGCCUUCGGCAAUGGGCCGAUCAGAUCAAUUCCCCAUUGAGCAAAUGGCCAAGGGGAGGCCAUGGAGGUGAGCUUCUCUGGUGGUUGGUUAGAGAAAUUUGCAAAACUCUGGCAGCUUACACAACUCCUGGUCUUCUCUUGCGCAUCCUGGUGCAUUGUCGGCCAGAAAUAUCCCUGCCUUAGAACCUUGUGGGCCAGGGACCUCCCGCCAGAAUGAUUUCCGCAAAUUCCUUCAUGUACUUCCCUCAGUACGUAAUCCGCGUCGUCCUCAUCCAAACACCGAAGGAAAGGUAGUGUAUAUCCUCGCCGAUACAGUACCCCAUCAAUCAUCGUGUAUCUCGAGGCCUGGGCUCUAAUCUUGCGAGCUCGCAGCUUAUCUGGUGGUAACACCCCGUCUCUAAGGUACGAAACUAUCGGGUCCCUCCACGAACAUUUUUGUUCUAUCCGCAACACCCCCAAAUUCUGAUCAAUACUUGGGCUGGACUUCACCUCCAGAGUGACCGACUUUGGCAUUUUUGGGUCGGCUACUGCUGCCAUCCUAGCCAAAAUGUCUGCUCGACUAUUCUGCUCCCUGGGGAUUUGUAUCACCUCCACUGCUUCGAACUUCCCCAUCAGCUGCCUGACUAUCUUCAGGUACUGCUCCAUCUUCUCCUCUCUUGGUUGGAAUCUUUCACUGACAUGAUUCGCAACCAGCUGGAAAUCAGUUCUGAUCUUAACUCUGUCUGCUUUCACGGCCUUAGCCAAUUCCAGACCUGCUAUCAAGGCUUCAUACUCUGCCUGGUUAUUCGUGGCUGCAAAUUCCAACUUUACAGCGUAAGAUAUCUCCUCCCCCUCUGGACCUUCCAAGACAAUCCCUGCUCCUGAACCCCGCUCCCCUGAUGACCCAUCCACAGACAUCUGCCAUACUUGAGUUUCGUCAUUGCCUAUAACUGCAUCUUGUUGAUCUAAGCAUACUUCGGGCUCUGUGAAUUCAGCUACGAAAUCGGCCAUUGCCUGGGCCUUUAUCGCUGCGCGGGGUUUAUAGUCUAUGUCGAACUCGUUCAGCUCUACAGCCCACUUGACGAGCCGACCAGAGGCGUCUGGCUUGUGAAGAGUUUGACGCAACGGCUGGUUUGUUAUUACCGAGACCGGGAAUGCUUGAAAAUAUGGCUUCAACUUCCGAGCAGCAACCACAAGGGCGAGUGCCCAUUUCUCCAACGGUGGGUAUCUGGUCUCAGCGUCGAGCAGGGCCUUGCUGGUGUAGUAUAUCGGAUAUUGAACUCCUUCUUCCUCUCUCACCAGAACAGAACUGGCGGCCCGAUCCGAUACCGCCAAAUACAGAUACAACUUGUCCCCAUCCCUCGGUGUGGACAGCAGCGGAGCUUGCUGCAAGUAUUGCUUCAAGUUCCGGAAGGCUUCCUCGUAUUCUGGGGUCCAUUCUGUUUUCUUCCCCCUCCUUAUCACUUGAAAGAAUGGCUGACACUUAUCUGUAGCCUUGGAUAUGAAUCUGCUCAACGCCGCCAACCUCCCCGUGAGGCUCUGCAUCUCCUUCAGGUUACGAGGAGACGUCAUCUGCACAAUCGCCUGGAUUUUCUCGGGAUUUGCUUCAAUCCCCCUAUGGCUCACCAUGAAUCCAAGGAAUUUCCCUGACUCGACCCCGAAAGCACACUUCUCCGGGUUGAGCUUCAUCUUAUACUUCCUCAAAAGCUCGAAUGUCUCCUCGAGGUGUCCGACAUGUUCCUUCGGGAUUUUAGACUUGGUGAUCAUGUCAUCCACGUACACCUCCAUGGUUUUCCCAAUCAACGGCUUAAAGACUUUGUUCACCAGCCUUUGAUAGGUGGCCCCAGCAUUUUUGAGACCGAAUGGCAUUACCCUGUAACAGAACAAACCUUGGUUAGUGAUGAAAGCCGUGCUCUCCUCAUCCUGCUCGUACAUGGGGAUCUGGUUGUAUCCCGAGAACGCGUCCAUGAAGCUGAGCAGACCAUGUCCAGCCGUUGAAUCUACUAGCUGAUCGAUCUUGGGUAAAGGGAAGCUGUCUUUUGGGCACGCCUUAUUGAGGUCUGUGAAAUCCACACACAUCCUCCACUUGCCGUUUGCCUUCUUUACCAACACCACAUUCGAUAUCCACUCAGGGUAACUGACUUCCCGAAUAAACCCUGCUCUCAAGAGCUUCUCCACCUCGCUAUUUAUAGCCUCAUACCUCUACUGGUUGAAGCACCUCCUCUUCUGCCUUACUGCCCGAGCACCUUUCUUUAUUGCCAGCUUAUGACAUGCUACCUCAGGGUCAAUCCCUGGCAUGUCUUCAUGUGUCCAAGCAAACACAUCAGCAUGAGCCUGUAAGCAUUUCACCAACUCCUGCUUUUGCUCUCCCUUAAGUCUCGACCCGAUUCUGAUCGUCUUUCCCGGGUUCUCUGGUCCCAGACUUACUGUUUCCAGAUCCUCUACAAGUUCUUGUCUGCCAUUCUUGUUUUCCACUCGGGUAUCGAGGGAUGUUAUCUGCAUUGCUUCCCUUGCUGCCGAGGAGUAGCAGCUUCUUGCGAUCCUCUGGUCUCCUCGUACCACCCCCACUACCCCAUUCACCCGGUACUUUAGAGCCAGAUAAUGGUUGGACAACACCGCUUUGCUCAUCCUUAAAAAUGGCCGACCUAGGAUCAUCUGGUAAGGACCUUCCUCAUCCACUACGACAAAGUCUAGUAUCAUUGUUCUUUCUGUCGGGGAGCUCCCAAUUGUGAUAGGCAGCUCGACCACGCCCAGUGGGACCAGCUUCCCUCCUCCGAACCCCUUCAAGGAGGUAUUGGUGUAUUCCAACUUCCGGUCGGCUAUUCCCAUCUCUUCCAGGGUUGACUUAAAUAGGACAUCAACUGAGCUCCCUGUAUCAAUCAGUAUCCGGUCAAACUUCUUGCUAGCGACAGUAGCCUUGAUGACUAAAGCAUCCUCGUGGGGGUAUAGAAUACCUUCCUCAUCCUCAUCCAUCCACAUGAUCGGCACUUGCCUGACCCUUGCUCGUUUGGCUGCUGGGGUGUUGAAGAGUACCUCUUUACUGGUCAUGGCGUACCUAGCAUAAUUUUUUCUCGAUCUGUUGGAAUCUCCGGCCAAUGUUGGGCCCCCAGCUAUCACCCUUACUGCGGGUUGCUCGCGCCUCAAGUUUCUACCACUCUGCUCCCCUUCAUCUGUUGUGGCCACCAUCGGGAAAGUCCCAUCCAUAAACUCGUCCAGGUACCGAUUUCUCACCAAAUCUUCGACCUGGGUCUUGAGAUCUCUACACUCUGCUGUGGUAUGGCCAUGGGUGCCAUGGAACUUGCAAUAACGUCCUCUAUCCCUCCUGUUGGGUGGCUUUGUUAUUGGUGUAGGGAGGUGGAGCAGCCCUCGAUCCUUUAUGGCCUCGUACACCUCAUCCAGGGACAUCUUCAAGGAAGUGUACCGCCCAUAGUCCUGGUUCUGGUCGAUCAGGUGCACUGCUCUUUCUCUGUUCGCCCCGCUCUGAGUUGGGGGCGGGGGAAGUACUUCUGGUCUGCUCGUUCUGCUACCGUGGGAAUGUUGAUGAAGACCACCAGAUGCCGAAUCAUGUCUUCUCCAAGGCUCCCUAGCUGGGGAACGAGGAGGUUGCGCCCCGCUGCGCUGAUACUGCGGUGGCCUCUGAUGAGGCUGGUAAGCAGUUACCCGGCCUCCUGCUCCACUACCGGAGGCCUGGUGAUCUCUCCUCCUGAUCGGCCCAUUCCCCGGUAAUGCUUUCUUCUCUUUCCUCCCCAACCCUUCUAACUGAUCUGUCUUGAUCCGUGCAGCCUUCUCCUCUUCAAUCUCGAUGUCUCUCUUAGCCUGUUCGUAUGCGGCUGCAUACGUUUGAAUAGCUGGGCUUCUCAGAUUGUACCACAGCUUUCCUAUCUUCACCCCUUCUUUCAAUCCCCUUAACGCCUGAAGGUGGUUGAAGGCUCCUAAGUCGAGGACAGCCCGAUGAAACCUCUUGAUGAAUUCCCGAAGGGUUUCUUGCUCCCCCUGUUUCAUGCUUUUCAGCUCCAUCAUGUCAUCUUCCGGUGCCAUUGCCCCACUAAACUGCUCUGCGAAUUCCUGGCACAUCUGUUCGAAGGUUUUAAUGCUGCCCCGAGGAAGUUUCCUGUACCAUUCUCGUGCACGUCCCUCAAGGGAUAGUGGGAACACUCUGCACCUUUGGGAUUGAGAUAAUCCUUGUACCCCAGUUAUGUCGUUGAAGCGCUCUAUGUGCACCAGCGGAUCAGUUCUUCCCGAGUAUCUGAGGUCUGGGAGACGGAAAUCUCUCGGAAUAACUGCCCUCAUGAUCUCUGUUGCGAGCGGUGAUUCUCCGUCCAGCAUUAUCCUCCAACCAGGGGCUCUGUUCCUUCCUUGCAUGACGUCAAUUAUCUGCGCUAGUCUGCGCACUUCCUCCUCCAGCUGCCCUGCACGACCAGGGUCACGUGCUGCAACUUGAUCCCGCUCUUGCUCUGCAUCAUGCAAGUGUUGCCUCAACUCUGUUUCCUCUGCAUUCACCACCCCGUCGUCCUCGUCACAAGUCUGUCUUGCCGGGGACUGUUCUCUUUCUCUAUGAAAUUCUCCCCGCAGAGGUACGUUACCUCUCUCACCGCAAAAUCUCCCUGUGGUUUGACUUCUCCCCGCACUAUCGGGACCUGGUGCCAUUCCACCGCCUCUCACCCCUCCCUCUUGGGUUACCCUUCGCUCGCUCCGCAUCUCAUGCAGGAUGGUUGUCAAGGUCUCCAUCUGCUUUUCCAUCCGUUCCAUCCGGUCGAACAUGACUUUUUCCCGUGCUUCACUGACUAUCUCCCUCAGCGUCAUGGAAUCGUUAAGCCUCAUAUCACCCCCUUGUGCACUACUUCCUCCUGUCUCCAUUGCUUUUCACUUGCUUCACCCCUCUUCUUGCUAUCAAAAGAAGCUUUUUGCUCUGGUCCCCACAGACGGCGCCAAAAUGUUGAUGCGAGAUUCCGGUUCCCCUCGUUCUACGAUCAGGAUCUCUGCUCGAUCAACUUCACCACGACCAGGAGGUCUCCUCGUGAGGCUUUUUUUUUUUCAGAUGUCCCUGCACACACAGACAAGUCAGAGUACGCCGGUUGUUUUCCCGGCGCAAACCCUCCGACGCUUAAGUCAGAUAUGAAGGUUCGGGGAACGUUUGCCACAGAUCUUAUGGCUUUUUCGUGGUUUUUCCUUUAAUCUCAAAAAUGCUAACCCUUUUACCUUCGUUGGCUACCUUUUUAUAGGCUUCCUGAAUCCCCGUUUUCCGCUUUUUUCGAGACGGUAUGGGACUCCGACUGCUGCGUUAUGGGCAAGCGUGGGAUCUUGCGUGUUACGCCACGGUUCAGGGGAAAGCGUGGCGGUCGUGGUUCUGUGAGAUCUUGCGUGUUACGCCACGGUUCAGGGAAAUGCGUGGCUGUCGUGGUUCUGUGAGAUCUUGCGUGUUACGCCACGGUUCAGGGGAAAGCGUGGCUGUCGUGCCUAGAUUCUCGGGCUGGAGAGCAUGUCCUGCCAACUGCCGUCGACCGGGUCUCCUCGCCUCUCGGCCUCUAGCCGGAAUGGCCUUAUGCCUCUCACAGGAAAUUGGCCUCGCGGAUGAUGUGCUCGUGGACGAGCCGGAUAUUUCUGCUCCUGUUCUUCCGCGCACCAAGCCUUUACGGAACACACCUGUUCGCAGAACUCUGCCAUCAGAUAUCUGCUCACCGUGCCUGGUCUCGUCGACGUCUUUAUCCCAAACAGUAUUUCUCCCAAACAGCUACAAUCAGCUUGGAGAAAGGUUUAUAAGAAACCUCUUUUAGUACAUUACGAUAUGAUAAUAUGGAGUUAGAACAACAAAGCCACUGGUGAAGAGGCCAUUUAUAUUAAAGCUCAUUAAUUCCUUCUCCUAAUUGCCAUUACCGAACUUAUUCUCAAGAUCUUUCACUACCUUUGGGUCCAACUGGAAUGCCUUGCCAAGAAAAUCGGGUUUGAUUCGAGGAUGGGCUCCAAAGAUCGUGUCGGCUAUGGUAAUUUCACCGGGGAACUGGCUCUUUAGACCAGAAUAGGCAACUGCACUUGUGUUUCCAAUGUUGACAUGGAAGUGAAUCAAACCAAUUGGAAACACAAAAACAUCUCCCUCAUGCAGAACUUUUGUGAUCAGUGUGUUAUUUAGGUUGUCUGAUGUCACAAAACCAGCAUAAAGAGUUCCUUCCAGGACCAACAGGAUUUCGCUGGCACGGGGGUGAAUGUGAGGCGGGCUUUGCCCAUUCGGCGCAUAGUCAAUACGGAAUGCUGAUACGCCAAGGGUGUUGUCCUCGAAUUUGCUCAACAUUUGCAUGUGUUUCAUUAACACCAAGUCGAUUUGUUGUGUUUCCAGGCUUGUCUAGCCCUGACAAGAAGAAAUCUUCAGCUGUCGCAAGCUUGGGGUCCUUGCAGAACUUCCCAUUCACAAACACUACAAGAACACACACACACAUACACACACAAAGGGGAAAAAAAGAAUAAUUAAGUAGCAGCACAAAUUAUAUUGAAAAUUAUAUGUUUCAUCAGUUCAGCUUACGUACCACCAUCCUUCGGGUCAUCGAUGGCUACACAGAUAUCUUGAAGAAGGCUAGGGUCAUAGGCAGGGGCCAAAGAAGAAGCCAAAGCCAAGAGAGCAAAACCUAUAAGAAAUUGAAUUGCCUUCAUGGUGAUUAAUUAAUAGGAUGUACUUAUAUCUCAAACUAUAAUCAAGUGUUGUGAUUUGAGAAUAAUGCGAGGGAAACUAGCCUAUUUAUAGAAGGGAGUCCGUGAACGAGUCUGUGUCAAUUUCUUAGUACUCGAAGCAGGUCAAGACUUACUGAGUCCCAAUUGGUUAUCUUUCUUUUAAUUUAUAUUUUGAAGACAAUAUGUUUAAUCAAUGUACACAAUUGCCAUAUUUGACUAUAAUAAAUUAAAUUUUUGCCUACUUGGUCUAUGACAUAGUUUUUAACAUGGACAUAAUCAUUGCCCCCUUUAAGAGAAGAUUAUUCCAUUUGAUACUCAAUUUUUUAGCAGCAAUGUUACUGCAUAAAAUUUUAUACCAUCUUCGAAAAAUUGUUGAUACUGUGCGUGUGUAUUACACUCUCUAUAAAUUGUUUUAACCAUAUGAAGGCCUUGAUUGGUUGUUAUCGUGGUUAGGCCUUUGUAGCUUAAGAGCUAUAUAUUUUAUCUUAUACUUUAUGAUGAAAAUCAUAUAAUAUUUUUAUUAUUUUUUGUUAAAAUUAUUAUUUAAAAGUUAUUUGUUAUAUACUAUCAAUUUUUAUUUGAUACUUAUAAUUUUUUUUAUAACAACUAUAACAUUUUUGAACUACAAUAUCUCAAUAUCAAACAAAACAUGAAUUAAAACAUAAUAGAGAGAACGAAGACAUGAAUUAAAAAGUUCCAAUCAAGAGUGUCAAAAGCAUUUUUAAUGUCAAUCUUCAAGGCAACAUUCCCUCCAUGACUCUUGCGAUUGAGCAGAUUAAUUCAUUCAGAAAUAGAGCUGAGACACUCAUGAAUGUCUGUCCUUGAUGAAAACCGUUUGUUGAGACGAGAUAAUGUUAGGAAGCAAAGAACUUAAUAUGUCAGCAAGAAUUUUAAAAAGUACAUAUCCAACGAAAGUUUUCGUAGUAUGAUAGUUUUGUGCAGUAACAUUAGUUUUAUAUGUAACUAUGACACCAAACAUCACUCAUUUAUCUUAAUUACCUUGUACAUGUGGUAUAAAAUCUUUAAAAACUCAAGAGAAAUUAAAUUAAAAACUCAGGAUAAAUUAAAAAAAUUAAAAACUAGGGAUAAAUUAAAUUAAAAGAGGAUCAUAUUUCCUUGAUCUGAAUUCUCAUAAUCUUUUAAAGAUUUGUACCGCAUAUCCCUUAGUGCUGGUAUAUAAUUAUGUUUUAACUACUUUUAUUUUUUAAUUUAUUAACCACCAGUAAAUUGAGUACAUUUAAAUUUUUAACUUAAGAACAUAUCAGAUUAUGAAAAGAUUCUAAUCCCUCAAAAAAACAUAAAAUACAGUUGUCCAGUAAUUUUUAUAAAAUUAUUUUCCUGUAGGACUAAUAUCUGCAAAAUAUUGAAGUAUAUGCAAUUGGACAAUUAAGGGCUGUUCGGAAUGUCUUGCAGCCCUCGUUUUCAUUUUUGUUUUCAAAAUUUACGUGUACAACUUGUUCGGUGGGUCACAUCUUAGAUGCAAAUUGUAAAACAUACAAAACAAAGCCUGGCUGACUGUAAUAAAACCCGAAACAGGUUAUACACGUUUCCGCUAAUCUUCAAAACGAACCAUAAAAUAAAAUAAGAAACAAUAUUUUAACGCCUUUUCGAAAGCAUAAUUAAAGUAUAAUUUUUUCCUCUCAUCUUCUUCCUUUUUCCAUUUUUAUCCAUCAUUUUUUCAAUUGCUUUUUCCAUUUUUAUCCAUCAUUUUUUCAAUUGACUUUGUACUUUUCUUCAAUUUACUCAACUCAUUUGAGAAAACGAGUUAAAGAAUUUAUGAAAAUGGGUGAGAAAGAAAUUCAUAUCUCUGGCAACAGACUAACAGUUGGGAGUCAUGUUCCGUGGAUAUCGAUGUUACCGGACUUGAUUGGUUUGUUGUUGGACUUAAUGGAGAGCCACUAUUAGCCUUUUUUUUUUUCCUUUUCAUAGCAAUUUUCGUAGCUGCUUUGAGCAUUCUUAGUUCUAUAAAUGCUUUACCAAGUCAAUGAUGCGCAUGUUUUUUUUCAUUGCGCGUUGAAGUCACCAAAUCAUCUGCUUCAAGAAAAAACGUGAAUACUGGGAUCAGAAGGAACCAAAAUUCUUCCAUCUUAUUUUCAGUGGUCAGGUUAAUUCGAAGCUGGAGCCGGAACUUUUUGUUAGAGGUAGUGAUAUCCUUUUACAAUGACAAUUGGUAUAUAUAUAAUUUAAAGUUUAAAAGUUAAUUUUAAUGUUUGCUAAAUUUUUUAAAAAAUUUAUUUUUAAUAAAAUCAUCUUAUCUUACAUCAGAUUUUAAAAAAUAAAAAAGUAGUUUUUUAAAAUCUGAUUUCGAGAAUCACUUUUAUAAUUGUUAUCAAUUAUAUUGAGAUAAUAAAAUAAAAAAUACGAUUAAUAAUAUAAAAUAUUUAUUUUAGUUAUCAAUUAUUAUAUAUAUACAACUAAAAAUAUUUUAUUUAUAUGUUUAUAAAUGUGUAAAUAAAUUUUAUUUAACAAUAUAUUCAAUUCAUUCAUUUACAUUCCUACAACAUUUUAAUAUUAACAUUUACCAAACACAUGAUUAAUUGAUUCUUUAUAUAGCUAAUUAUUUUUAUAGUGUGACUAACAUUAAUUAUUUUAAAAGUUAUAACAUUAUUUUUAUAGUGUAACUUAAUUGAUUAAAAUUAAGUUAUUUAAAUCAUUAAGUUAGGAAAACAGACAACCCUUUAGUAAAUUUCUUAAUGUAAAUAUUAGUAAAUUAUAAUGCAAACAAAAAUAAUAAUCUCUUAUGUCUUCACUUUUUUAAUUAAAAUUAGUUUCAUUAUCUAUUUUGAAUAACAAACUGAAUUGAUCACGAAAUAAUAAUCUCUUCUUCCAAUCAUAUGAGUGGGUUUGAGUCACUCAGGUAUAGAGAUGGCCAAUGGGUCGGGCCGGCAGCAAGGCCUAUGCAUGCUUGUGCCCAUGUUGUGUCAUACCCACUAUCUGUUUCGUGCUGUGCCAUGCCCACUCGUGUCGUGCCCACACGUGUCGUGCCUAAAAAAAAAAGCCCAAUAAGCUUUUUUUCUUUUUUUUCUUAAAUUUUUUAAGAGCGCAUGCCAAGCUAUUAGCAUACUUUUUUCAAGUCUAUAUAUAUUUUUUUAGGUAUAUGCCUUUAUUCAAAUUUAAUAGAAUCAAAAAUUCAAAACUCAAGUCCAUAUUCAAUAAAAAUAAAUUAAUAAUCGUAAGAGAACGUAAUAUUAAUUACUAAAUUUGACUUCAUAGUAUUAGAUGUUUUUUUAAUACUUAACAACAACAACAACAACAACAAUAAUAAUAAUACUGAUAAAUUUUUCUUAAGGGUUAACUUAAAUGUUAACUUGGACUUACAUGGAGUUAUAGAUCAUAGUUCACAAUAAUAUUAAUGCAUAUUUAUAAAAUCAUGAUAUUUAUAAUUUUAUUCAUUAAAAAAUAUAUUUAUUUAAUAAAUUAUAAAUAUAAACCAAUUAUAGUAUUUUUUUAAACUAAGAAUUAAAUGAAUUUAAAAAUUCAAUUUCAAGUUAUUUGUAAAAUCAUAAAAUUUUAAGUGUAUUUUCAUUAAAAAAAUAAAACGUUCUUAUUGUGAGCUUUUUCAUUGUGCCGUACUUAGCCCAUCUCUAAUCGUGUCGUGCUUUUAAGGCUCGCAUGCCUAAAAUUCUAAGCCCGGCCCAACCCACGUGCAUGCCGUGCUGUGCCUCGUGCCCCACAAAAGCGUGCUCGUGUUGUGCUAUGCUAUACGGACAUGUGUCGUGUCACGUGCCCAUUGGCCAUCUCUACUCAGGUAGUCGUGGGAAUUUGUUUUCUUUGAUUUCUACGCUUGGCUUUUUAGAAUUAUUUGUAAGGGCAUUAAUUGUGUAUUUUUAAUGGGUUUAUAUGUUAAUUAUAUUGUAUGUAGUAUUAAAGGUUUGUCAACCAAACUAGCAACCAUUUAAUUAGUUAAAAUGCAUUCAUGUCAGUAUUUAAGAUACGUAUCACUUUCCGACAACCAUGUUAAUAUAUGUUUCCGUUCGAACUUUCCACUUGCUGCUUGACCCAUGUAAGUUAUAAAAAAGUUUCUGAGAAAAUGAAAAAAUAAUCCAUGGCCAUGGAAAUAAUAAAACGCCGCCAGGCGUAUUGUAUAAUUCUAGGAGCGAUUUAUCAUUUCUUUUUCCUUUUUGCUUUUUAUUUCAACAAUUUAUUAUUGACUAGUGUAUUGCAGGCUUGCAGCAAUUAAGUGUUUGGAUCAUUUAUCCCGCUUUUUUUCAAAUAUAAGCCAGAUAUAAAUCCAGAUUAUGCUGGUAGAAACAUCGUCUCAAAGAUUCUAUUGGGUCAUCAAUAGCUGUAUAUGAGUGUAUCUUGAAGAGGGCUAAUUUUUCUAGGAUAUGCUGCUAGAAAAUUUUGCAGCACGUAACUACUAUGAAUUAGUCUUUGUUGUUUAAUUAAGACUCUAAUCUUCCUUUCUAGAAUGCAAGAUAAAAAAUUAAGCUAGAAACAUUAUAUCAAAGUAAUGAAUAGUUACACAUUUUUGUUAAAUAUAAUUCUAGACUUUCCGGUCACACAUUUUACCGUUUAGUCCAUAAUUUUUCAAAAUACCUAUUGCAUUUCUAAUAUUAUACUUUUAUGUUCGAAUUACUCUGUUGAAGUAUACAUGAGACUUUUUACCAUAUAGCACCCUCCAUACCUUUUAGUGGGGGAAUUAAAAAAAAAAAAAAAGAAGAGCGCAUCAUAUUAGACAAAGUGCAUGUUUGUAUGACUUAUUUAAUGGUCAUAAGUACUUAUUUAAUAUCAUAAGUUCCUUUUUAAAUUAGGGGUGUUCGCGGAUCGAAUUUUACAAAUUGGAUAUCAAUCCAUAUCCGAUCCAUGAUUUUGUGAAUUAUAAAUUUUUAAUCCAAUACGAUCCACGGAUUGAUGAACUCAAUCCAAAUUCAAUCCAUACGUCUGAGGAUCAGAUGCGGAUUUGACUCAAUUAUCCAUAUCCAAUCCACAAUUUUGCGGAUUGGUUUGCAGAUUAAAAAUUUUUAAUUAUGUCUUAUCUACGAACUAACUAAAUAAAAAAAUUAAUAUAAAAAUAAGUUUACUACUGAUCAAAUUCAAAAUUAAAUAAGAUUUAAAUAAAUUAAUUGUUUAAAUAAAGUUAGAAAAUACUUUUAAAGUUUCAAAAUAUAAUACGUCAAAAAGAAAAAAAUCAUUUGUUUAUAUCAGUAUAUAAAAAUUAACUACUUAGUAAGCUAUAUAUUUUUAUUUAAUUAUUUUUAUUUUAUAUUAUUAUUGGAUAAGAUAUAAUUUGAUGUUAAUGUAACUAUAUUUUAACUUAUUUAUUUAUUAGUAAGUAUAAUGCCAUAUUCACAAGCCUAAUUUUUUUUUAUUAAAUAAAUAUAUAUAUAUAUAUUGCGGAUUCACGGAUUUUUUACUGAUUUAUAGAAGUAAAUCCAUAUCCAAUCCACCGAUUAGGAAUUUCUAAAUUUUCAAUCCAAUCUAAUGCAUCAAUCCACGAAUCACAUUUUUUACGGAUCAGAUUUCUACGGAUUAGAUGGAUUGAGCGGAUCGGAUUGGAUUCUGAACACCCUAUUUAAAAUUAUUGUUGUUAUUUGAUUGUAUUUUAAGUAGAGUUUUUAAGAAUUAAGUAAACUCUUUUGUCUCAACUAGUAAAAACUUAAAUUUUGAGCUUUAAGACAUAAAGGUUGGAGGGCCCUUUUCAAAAGUUAAAUUGACUAAAAUGUUCCGUUAUUUAUUUCACAAUAUAAUGACAUCCCUUUCAUAACUUUAAAACUUGUCUAUUAAAAUGAUUUUAUAUAAUUUUUAAUAACGCUCUCAGUGACAACUAAGCAAUUAAAUUUUUUUGAUAACAUUCUACUUGUAAAACUUUUAUUAAUAAAAGCUUUAUUUGAAUAAGCCUUAUCAUAAAACUUUACCAAACAAAGCCUAACAAUAAGAUUAUAAUAGUAGAAGAAUUCAAAAAAUGUAUUCUUAAUAUUACAAGUUUACAAUUAUUAAGUUGGGAAUGAAAUAGGUAUGUUUAAAAUUACAUUGAUUACUUGGUCACUGAUGAGGUGAGGAUUGGAUGGCCACAUUUAACUUUUGAUGAAUUGUGUCAUUACUACUUUUCUAACACGUCUCUGUUGAAAAGUCAAAACAGCUUUUUGACAUGCAUAACCUUCUAGCCGCAAUAUUGGAAAUAUUGAUGAAGCAUGUGGAUGGAAUCAUGGAAAAUGAAGCCAAAUGAGUUGGUGAAGCAUGUGACAGUUUGACAAAUUCACAACAACUUUGACAAUUUGGCAAAUUGUUGGUGAGCGCCGAAUUUGUAAUAGUGCAAAAUACUUCCUAUAAAUAGAGGGAGUUUUUCAUUUGUUAAGCAUCCCAAAAAUUUGUUAAGCUUAUAAGUUUCUAAGCUUUUGAGAGUUCUGAGAGUGUGAGCAAUUGGAGAGUGUGUGUGAGAGUACUGGGUGUAUUUGGGUUCUCGGAAAGUGAGGUUUCUUUACUCAAAUUUGUACUCAAAAGAUAAUUGUUAAUAAUACAAUUAUUUUUCUCUUGCUCCCGCGGACGUAGGCAUAUUGCCGAACCACGUAAUUCUUGUGUCCUUUAUUUUUCUAUGAUUAUUCGGUGCGCUUGAUUCCGCAUUCCGCGCACAACAAGUGAUAUCAGAGCCGACAGUUCAUACUUGGGGGAUACGACAUUGUUCACGUAUACGGUACUGUUCACGAAUACGGUGGAGACGACCAUUUAUACUUGGGAGACAAUCUAUUGCAAGUAGUGUGUAUUUUUGCAUGUCUAGGAAAGUUCUAUCAACAAGGCGAUAAGAGUCUAAGGAUUCUGGUUUUUAAUUGGGAUCGAGUUCCCGUCCAGUCCUGGGAACUUUCCUAGUGCAUUUAUUCAAGCAAAAUUAACAUCAUAGUGACUGUUUUUCAAGUGGAAAUAGUUCGUUGAGAAAAUGAUAGAAGGUAAAACUUGCAAAAUUGGGGAGAGAUCUACCGAUACUAUUUCAGGAGACACUUCAGGUGGGAGGCGAGAUUUGUCAAAUUGCUAUUCUAUUUAGCACUUGUUAUAGGAGGCCAGAAAAUCGAUGUUGAAAAGUUUGAUGGGAAAAUCAACUUCGGCAUGUGGAGGCGCAAAGUCAUGGAUGCCUUUAUUCAAAUCGAUCUCGAUGUUGUUCUGAAAAAUAAAAGACAUAUGUAUGAUGAAGAAAUUUAGGAUCGUAUAAACGAGAAAGCUUGUGGUCAAAUCAAAUCUUGUUUGACCAAGGAGGUGAAAUACUUGGUGAAAGAUGAGGAGUGUAUGAUGACUUUGUGGUGUACAUUGGAGGAGAAGUGCCUGCUGAAAAAUCCUGAAAAUCAUCUUCAUGUAAUGAGCCAAGUAUAUGGCUUUCGAAUGAAGCCUGGGGUGUCAAUGCAUGAUCAUGUCUCAAGAUUGAAAAGUUACUUGCUGAUUUGAAAAAUCUUGAUGAAAAUAUUAAGGAUGAAGUCAAGGCUAUGAUUUUGUUACACUUACUAUCAGAGGAAUAUAGCCAUUUUGUGACUACCUUGAUAUAUGAGAAGAGUGUGAUCGUCUUCGAAGAUGUUUGCACAACAUUGACUAACUUGGAGAUUCAGAAUAAUGAUAAAAAUUCUAAACGAGCAUCGUCUGAAGCUUUGGUGAGCAGAGACUGGGCAAUGGAGAGAAAGAAGAAGCGUGGUGGAAAGAAUUCUCGAUCUAAAUCGAGAAGCAGAAAUAUAGCUCGAGAUGAGUGUGUCUUUUGUCAUGAAAAGGGCCAUUGGAGGAAAGAUUGUCCAAAGUCUCAAAAGAGAGAUGGAAAGAAACCAGCAGCAGCAAACAUGACACGUAAAGAUGAGGACUCUGAUUAUUCACGAAGUAUUACUCCUGUAGCAUACGUGGCUAGUUCGAGUGAGUGGAUACUUGAUACUGGAGCAACCUAUCAUUUGUGUCAUAUUAAGGAAUGGUUUACGAAUUUUCAUAAUUUGGAAUCUGGUACAGUUGUGAUGAGGAAUGAUCAACUUUAUCGCAUGAUAGGGAUAUGAACAAUUCGGCUCAAAAUGUUUGAUGGAAUGGUCAGAAAACUGAAAAAGGUUAGAUAUUUUCUAACUUUCAAGAAAAAUUUAAUUUCGGUGGGUGCUCUAGAAGCUAAAGGCUACAAGGUUACUAUUGAAAAUGGCAUAAUGAAGUUCACGUAUGGGGCUAUGGUGAUUGUGCAAGGGGUUCGGCAUCACAAUUUGUACUAUUUGAAGGGAGAUACAACUGAUGAAGUAAAUGUUGCUGAGGCGCACAGUGACACCACCAAGCCAUGGCAUGUACGACUGGGACAUACUGGAGAGAAGUUUUUACAAACUCUGAUGAAGCAAAGACUCUUAAAAGGUACCAAAACCUGUAAAUUAAAUUUCUGUGAGUAUUGUGUAGUACGCUAGAAAACAAGGGUCAAGUUUGGUACAGCUAAUCACGAUACUCGUGAGAUCCUUGAAUAUGUUCACAGUAAUGUAUGGGGACCAACCAAGACUGCAUCAAUUGGUGGAAGCUAUUAUUUUGUUACAUUUCUCUAGACAUGUGUGGGUGUACACCAUGCGAGCAAAGGAUGAGGUUCUAGAGAUUUUCAUGAAAUGGAAGAAAUUGGUGAAGACUCAAACUGGUAGAAAGAUCAAAGUAUUACGAUAUGAUAAUGGAGGUGAAUAUACUUCUAAUCCAUUCUUGCAAAUAUGCCAGAACGAGGGUAUUAAAAAAUAUUUCACGGUGAGACAUACUCCGCAACAUAACGGUGUGACUGAGCGUAUGAAUCGUACUUUGCUGGAGAAAGUACGAUGUAUGUUAUCUAAUGCUGGUUUAGAUAAAAAGUUUUAAGCUGAGGCUGUGAGUUACGGAAGUCACUUAAUAAACUUAUUGCCUUUUGUUGUAAUUAGAGGUAAAACUCCUAUGGAAAUGUGUUCUAGAAAGCAUGCACAAGACUAUGAUUCCCUUCGUAUAUUCAGGUGUUCAGCUUAUUAUCACGUCAAAGAUGGUAAAUUGGAUCCUCGUGUUAGAAAAGCUAUCUUUGUGGGAUUCAAAAGUGGAGUAAAAGGCUUCAAGCUUUGGGAUAUCGAAGACAAAAAGUUUGUGCGUAGCAGAGAUGUUACGUUUGAUGAAGCUUCAAUGAUGAAAACUUCAAGUUCUCAACAAAUGGAGAACAAGACCACAUAGGUAUUGUAGCGGGUGGAGUUUGAUGCAACUCCAUAUGUACCAGUUAGUUCUACAUCAGAGAAUGGUUUAACUAUGGAGGUGACACCUAGAGUUGAAAAAGAGAUUGUUUCUUCUGGUGUCCCACAAAAUGAAGAAACAAUUGAUGAUGUAAAUAAUGAUGAUUCUUGACACGACUUAAAAGUGUUUGAUUUUCUCUCAAGUACAAGAGUGCCUAGUUAUAAUAUAUCUCGGUGAGUCCGAGGUCGAACUACAGAGAAAAGAUUUAAUUUGUUUACUUAAGUUUAUCCAAAAAAAAAAUUUAUAAAUAUGUAAUUUAUUUAAGAAAAAGUAUAAAAUUGAAUUAAUUAGGGUUAUGGAUCCACUCUUAGUAAUAAAUACAAUUUAACAAAUUCUUUUUAUUUUUAUUUUAUUUCCCAAAAGAUUAAUUGUAUAAAUUAAAAUCAUUUUCCCAUUUAUUUUAUUGUGGAUUAAGAAUUUAAUGUGCCAAAACUUAAUUUGUCUGCACUAAAUCAAAAUACAAUUUUUCCAUAUUUUAUACUAAGAUAUUAAGAAUUUAUUGUGCCAAAUUCAUAUUUUUGUCUACAUUAAAUCAAAAUUUCAAAAUAUAAAAUAUGGAUAAAAUUAAAUAGAAAAUAAUUUAAUUUAUAAAAUUAAAAAUAGAAUUUGAUUAAACCAUAUUUUUUACUAAGAGUUUCACCUUCCCCUAACUAUGAAUAUUUAGUUAAACAUUUUUGAAAUAAAGGAAAUUAUUACAAUUGAAAAACACAUAAAAAAAUGGAAUUUGAAAAUUGAAAUAAAACUAAUUUUAUUGAUUGAAAGUAUAUUACAAGAGAGAUGAGAAGAAGAAUUUGAGGGGAAAGAAGGGAAGAGAAGGUGUGUAGAGGUGUGUUCACCCCCCCUCUCUAUUUAUACUAAUACAUGAUAAAUCCACACCACACAAAUAAAAAAAUCUAAUUACAUAUUAACCUUACAUUUGUCCCACUAAUAAUCCCACUAAUAAAACAUAAACCUAACUUAUCCACUCAAGCAUAUACAACACAUUCAACUAAAAAUUACCAUACCUAACAUGAUAAAAACUUAUAAUUUUACAAUUACCACAUUUACCGUGGUAAAAACGUAAAAAUUUACAACAAAAGUCUCGGCUCCUCCUCGACAAUGACAUAAUUUCUUGAACUUUCGGAAUUCAAAUUUGACAUCCAUACAUUUGUUCGGAGCCUCAAAUUGCAUGAAAUUAUUAUUUUUACCUAAUAAACACACAAAAAUACACAAAAUCAAAUAUUUAGAAAAAUAAUUAGAAAUUCACAAUAUGUUAGACAAUUACAAAUAUAAAUUACAUUAAUAGCACAAAAUAAUAUUUUUAUCCCUUAAUAAAUAUACAAUUUUUAACACUAAUCAAUUCUAUAGCAAUAAGGAGGCUAAGUAGAGAGAUAAAGAAACUCGGAUGGCUUACUAAAGACAUGAUGGUAGCCUAUACACUUCCAGUUAUUGAUAAUGACAUUCCUAGCACUUUCGGUGAAGCAUUACACAGCAGUGAAAGUGAUCAAUGGAAGUUAGUCAUGGAAGAAGAGAUGAAAUCUCUCCAUCAAAACCAGACUUGGGAACUUACCAAAGGGUAUAGCCAAGGUUAUAGCCCACCAGUUUUUUUGGCCUUUUUCCGCUGAGGGCUUUCGGUGCCCCGACCUUCGGGCGCUUAUUUUUGGGCGCGGCUGUGUCCGUGACUCCCCGCGGGCACACGGAGGCCCCUCGCAAAGUCUCACCCCAUUCUGAGUCCGGCGAACAAACUUCGCCCGCGACCCCCACCAAGGCUAUAGCUUAUCCGAUUUUUUGGCCUUUUUCCGCUGGGGGCUUUUGGCGCCCUGACCUUCGGGCGCCUAUUUUUGGGCGCGGCUGUGACUGCGACUCCCCGCGGGCACACGGAGGACCCUCGUAAAGUCUCACCCCAUUCCGAGUCCGGCGGACGAACUUUGCCAAAAAUACGCGACCCCCACCCAAGGCCAUAGCCCACCGUUUUUUUGGCCUUUUUCCGCUGGGGGCUUUUGGCGCCCAGACCUUCGGGCGUUUAUUUUUGGGCGCGGCUGUGUCCGUGACUCCCCGCUGGGACACGGAGGCCCCUCGCAAAGUCUCGCCCCAUUCUGAGUCCGGCCGACGAAGUUUACCCAAAAAUACGUGACCCCACACAAGGCCACAGCCCACCCAUUUUUGGCCUUUUUCCGCUAGGGAUUUUUGGCGCCCGGACCUUCGGGCGCUUAUUUUUAUGCGCGUCUGUGCCUACGACUCCCCGCGGGCACAGGGAGGCCCCUCACACAGUCUCGCCCCAUUCCGAGUCCGGUGGGCGAAGUUUGCCCAAAAAUACGCGCCCACCACCCAAGGCUAUAACCCACCAGUUUUUUUGACCUUUUUCCGCUGGGGGCUUUUGGCGCCCCGACCUUCGGGCGCUUAUUUUUUGGCGCGGCUGUGUCCGUGACUCCCUGCGGGCACACGGAGGCACCUCGCAAAGUCUCGCCCCAUUCCGAGUCCAGCGGACGAACUUGGCCCGCACCACCCACCAAGGCUAUAUAUAGCCUACCCGUUUUUUUGGCCUUUUUCCGCUGGGGGCUUUUCGCGCCCCGACCUUCGGGCACCUAUUUUUGGGCGCGGCUGUGCCCGCGACUCUCCGAGGGCACAUGGAGGCCCCUCGCAAAGUCUCGCCCCAUUCCGAUUCCGGCCGACGAACUUUGCCUAAAAAUACGCGCCCCCCUCCCAAGGCUAUAGGCCACCUGUUGUUUUGGCCUUUUUCCGCUGGGGACUUUUGGCGCCCGGACCUUCGGGUGCUUAUUUGGGGCGUGGCUGUGCCUGCAACUCCCCGCGAGCACUGGGAGGCCCCUCGCACAGUCUCGCCCCAUUCCGAGUCUGGCGGGCGAAGUUUGCCCAAAAAUACGCGCCCCCCACCCAAGGCUAUAGCCUACAAGUUUUUUUGGCCUUUUUCCGCUGGGGGCUUUUGGCGCCCCGACCUUCGGGCGCUUAUUUUUGUGCGCCGCUGUGUAAGUGACUCCCCGCGGGCACACGGAGGCACCUCGCAAAGUCUCGCCCCAUUCCGAGUCCAGCGGACGAACUUCGCCCACGCCACCCACCAAGGCUAUAGCCUACCCGUUUUUUUGGCCUUUUUCCGCUGGGGGCUUUUGGCGCCCCGACCUUCGGGCACCUAUUUUUGGGCGUGGCUGUCCCCGCGACUCUCGGCGGGCACACGGAGGCCCCUCGUAAUGUCUCGCCCCAUUCCGAUUCAGGCCGACGAACUUUGCCUAAAAAUACGCACCCCUCUCCCAAGGCUAUAGGCCACCUGUUGUUUUGGCCUUUUCCGCUAGGGACUUUUGGCGCCCGGACCUUCGGGCGCUUAUUUUGGGCGCGGCUGUGCCUGCGACUCCCCGCGAGCACAGGGAGGCCCCUCGCACAGUCUCGCCCCAUUCCGAGUCCGGCGGGUGAAGUUGCUACCUCAUGAGUGACUGCCAGGCUCUGCCACACCCGCAUACUCAUACUGUUUUUGAAUUAGUUAUUAGCUUAUACUUUUGUCAAAUUUUUUGAUAAAAUAAUUAAUAAUUCUCUAAUGCAUCAUUAUCACAGGCAAUAUCAAUUUAGAUAAGAUAAUAUAUGAGUUUUCUUUUUUGAAGAAUCGUAGAACAAAACUUUGUCAAUAGUGUUUUUAUUUAUUUACAUUGCAUUUUUACAGUUUUAUUUUUAGUUUUUUUUGCUUGUUUGGUGUAUUUUAAUUAAUUCAUUUGUAUAGAAUAAAGUUUUUGAGAAGUAAAUUGAAUUUUAAAAAAAUCUAGCCCACCCCAAAAAAUUGUGCUAGCUUCGCCACUGCCAGGAAUAGUGAAAAUUGAUUUGUAAAUUUUAAGAUUUGUAAAUUGGUAUUUACUUUGAAUUCAAUUCAGCUGAGUCACUUUAAGCACAGUAAAUUCAAUUCAAAUUAAACAAUAUUUUGUGAAAAAAAAAAUUCAUAAAAAUCAAUGCAAUCAAGAAAAAGUAAAGAAAAUAUAUUAAAACAUUAAUUUUGCUUCCUAAAUUAAUCAUUGAAAGGAAAAAAUUUCUCUUUUAAGUAAGUUCAACAUUAUAAUUUAACAACAAUAUUGACUGCUAUUUUAAAACUCUUUAUUUAUUGCUCCAAAUUGCAAUUUUUUUUCAUGAGUCAUAAAAAUUAAUUUUAUUUAACAAUAUACUUAUAUAGUUAGAUACGUAAUUUAUAGCUUAAUUGAUGUUGCCUUAUUUAAUGAUAGUUUAUUUUAUUGUAUACUAAUAGUGUAAUAAAUUUGUAAUAAUUGAUUAUACAUCAUAUUUUACAUCGAUUACUCCACAAAUUAUAUAAUAUCUAUUUAUAAGCGAGUAUUACUCAAAUUAAUAUAGUAUACUUUAAAAUUUUAAUUAUUAUGCUUAAAUCAUAUAAUCAUAUGUGCAAUUAAGUGUAAAUUAUGAAAAGGUCUCUUCCCAAGAUUUGGAAAAAUGGUCAUGUAAAUCCCCAAGUUCCCACUAAAAGACACUAAGAUCCUUUUGUACCAUAAUACCUUUUGACUUUCUUAACAAAAAAGAUUGACUCUAAUGUUUUAUAAUAAGUAUAAAUUAAAUAUGUUAAAAUAAAUGUAACAAUAUAUACAUUUUAAAAUAAUUUCAGUAUAUAAAAAAAUAUUUUAGUAUUGUACAAUCUUAUAUUAUAUGAAACUAAAUUUUUUUAAUAAACAAAAAUAUAAUAUUAAAAUAAUAUUUAAAAGUUUAAAUUAUUUUCAAUUUUGUAUAAAAUAAUUUUAAUAUUAUUAAUACAUGAGAUAUAUUUUAUUAAUUAUAAAAUCUAUUUAAUCAAAAGAUUUAUUUAAAAUUUUAAUAACAAAUACAAAUAUACUAUUAAAAUCAAUAUCAUAUUUGCACUUUAAAAAUUAUGUUAUAUAUUAAAAAAUAUUUUAGACAAAUUAAAUUAUUUAUAUUUAUUAAAAAAUUUAAAGUCAGUUUUUUGAAUUAAAGUCAAAAGGAAAUUUUGGUAUCCCUUAAUAAAAACAUAGGUUCUAUAUCAUCAUGUUAACCAAAUGUUAUUUAAAUUUUAUGGCUAACCACACAUGGAGGUUCCUUCUGAUCCUAGUCUUCCACGUUUUUUCUUGAAGCACAUGAUUUGGUGACUUUAACACGCAAUGAAAAAAACAUGUGCAUCAUUGACUUGGUAAAGCAUUUAAAGAACUAAAAAUGGUUAAAGCAGCUACGAAAAUUGCUAUGAAAAAGAAAAAAAAAAAAAAAAGGCUAAUAAUGCUUCUCCGUUAAGUCCAACAACAAACCAAUCAAGUCCGGUAACAUCGAUAUCUACGGAACAUGAUUCCCAACUGUUAGUCUGUUGCCAGAGAUAUGAAUUUCUUUCUCACUCAUUUUCAUAAAUUCUUCAACUUGUUUCUCUCCAAUGAGUUGAGUAAAUUGAAGAAAAGUACAAAGUCAAUUGAAAAAUGAUGGAUAAAAAUGGAAAAAGCAGUAACAUGUAUAACUUGGUAAGGGAGAGAGAGGAAGAAGAUGAGACAGUUAAAGAUAAGAUUUGACGACGAGGGAGAGAAGAGAAGAAGAUGAAAAUUACUUUAAUUAUGCUUUCGAAAAGGCGUUAAAAUAUUGUUUCUUAUUUUAUUUUAUGCUUCGUUUUGAAGAUUAGCGGAAACGUGUAUAACCUGUUUCGGGUUUUAUUACAGUCAGCCAGGCUUUGUUUUGUAUGUUUUACAAUUUGCAUCUAAGAUGUGACCCACCGAACAAGUUGUACACGUAAAUUUUGAAAGCAAAAAUGAAAACGAGGGCUGCAAGACAUUGCCGAACAGGCCCUUAAUUGUCCAAUUGCAUGUACUUAAAUAUUUUGCAGAUAUUAUUCCUAUAGGAAAAUAAUUUUAUAAAAAUUAUUGGACAACUGUAUUUUAUGUUUUUUUUUAGGGAUUAGAAUCCUCUCAUAAUCUGAUAUGUUCCUAAGUUAAAUUUACUCAAUUUACUAGUGGUUAAUAAAUUAAAAAAUAAAAGUAGUAAAAACAUAAUCAUAUACUAGCACUAAGGGAUAUGCGGUAUAAAUCUUUAAAAGAUCGUGAGAAUUCAGAUCAAGGAAAUAGGAUCCUCUUUUAAUUUAAUUUAUCUUGAGUUUUUAAUUUUAUUUCUCUUGAGUUUUUAAAGAUUUUAUACCACAUGUCCAAGGUAAUUAAGAUAAAUGAGUGAUGUUUGUUGUCAUAGUUACAUAUAAAACUAAUGUUACCGCACAAAACUAUCAUACUAGGAAAACUUUCGUUGGAUUUGUACUUUUUAAAAUUCUUGCUGACAGAUUAAGUUCUUUGCUUCCUAACAUUAUCUCGUCUCAACAGACGGUUUUCAUCAAGGACAGGCAUUCAUGAGCGUAUCAGCUCUAUUUCUGAAUGAAUUAAUCUGCUCAAUCGCAAGAGUCAUGGAGGGAAUGUUACCUUGAAGAUUGACAUUAAAAAUGCUUUUGACAUUCUUGAUUGGAACUUUUUAAUUCAUGUCUUCGUUCUCUCUAUUAUUUUUUAAUUCAUGUUUUGUUUGAUAUUAAGAUACUGUAGUUUAAAAAUGUUAUAAUUGUUAUAAAAAAAAAUUAUAAAUAUCAAAUAAAAAUUGAUAGUAUAUAACAAAUAAUUUUUAAAUAAUAAUUUAAACAAAAAAUAAUAAAAAAUAUUAUAUAUUUUUCAUCAUAAAAUAUAAGAUAAAAUAUACAGCUCUUAAGCUACAAAGGGCUAACCACGAUAACAACCAAUCAAGGCCUUCAUAUGGUUAAAAAUUUUUAUAGAGAGUGUUUUUCGAAGAUGGUAUAAAAUUUUAUGCAGUAACAUUGCUGCUAAAAAAAUGAGUAUCAAAUGGAUAAUCUUCUCUUAAAGGGGGCAAUGAUUAUGUCCACGUUAAAAACUAUGUCAUAGACCAUGUACGCAAAAAUUUAAUUUAUUAUAGUCAAAUAUGGCAAUUGUGUACAUUGAUUAAACAUAUUGUCUUCAAAAUAUAAAUUAAAAGAAAGAUAACCAAUUGGGACUCAGUAAGUCUUGACCUGCUUCGAGGACUAAGAAAUUGACACAGACUCGUUCACGGACUCCCUUCUAUAAAUAGGCUAGUUUCCCUUACAUUAUUCUCAAAUCACAACAAUUGAUUAUAGUUUGAGAUAUAAGUACAUCCUGCUAAUUAAUCACCAUGAAGGCAAUUCAAUUUCUUAUAGGUUUUGCUCUCUUGGCUUUGGCUUCUUCUUUGGCCUCUGCCUAUGACCCUAGCCGUCUUCAAGAUAUCUGUGUAGCCAUCGAGGACCCGAAGGAUGGUGGUACGUAAGCUGAACUGAUGAAACAUAUAAUUUUCAAUAUAAUUUGUGCUGCUACUUAAUUAUUCUUUUUUUCCCCCUUUGUGUGUGUAUGUGUGUGUGUGUUCUUGUAGUGUUUGUGAAUGGGAAGUUCUGCAAGGACCCCAAGCUUGCGACAGCUGAAGAUUUCUUCUUGUCAGGGCUAAACAAGCCUGGAAACACAACAAAUCGACUUGGUGUUAAUGAAACAGAAGCAAAUGUUGAGCAAAUUCCAGGACUCAACACCCUUGGCGUAUCAGCAUUCCGUAUUGACUAUGCGCCGAAUGGGCAAAGCCCGCCUCACAUUCACCCCCGUGCCAGUGAAAUCCUGCUGGUCCUGGAAGGAACUCUUUAUGCUGGUUUUGUGACAUCAGACAACCUAAAUAACACACUCAUCACAAAAGUUCUGCAUGAGGGAGAUGUUUUUGUGUUUCCAAUUGGUUUGAUUCACUUCCACGUCAACAUUGGAAAAACAAGUGCAGUUGCCUAUUCUGGUCUAAACAGCCAGUUCCCCGGUGAAAUUACCAUAGCCGACACGAUCUUUGGAGCCCAUCCUCGAAUCAAACCCGAUUUUCUUGCCAAGGCAUUCCAGUUGGACCCAAAUGUAGUGAAAGAUCUUGAGAAUAAGUUCGGUAAUGGCAAUUAGGAGAAGGAAUUAAUGAGCAUAAAUGGCCUCUUCACCAGUGGCUUUGUUGUUCUAACUCCAUAUUAUCCUAUCGGAAUGUACUAAAAGAGGUUUCUUAUAAACCUUUCUCCAAGCUGAUUGUAGCCAUAUAAUAAACAUUAUUUACUGUUGUUUUUAUUUAUCAGCUAAGCCUUUCCCAUGCCUCUCCUUAUACAUAUAUUUUGUCCGUACACACAGACACACACACACACACACACAUAUUCUAAUUAAUCUCUUCAUUACUUUUUGUUAUGCAAAAUCUGAUGUGAAACAGAUUAUAUUAAGC